CUUACCAGGUCCGAACUUAUUGAGGUAAGACAGAUUAAUAGCUCUUUCUCAAAAUUAAGGGUAGUGGUGCAUGGCCGUUCUUAGUUCGUGGAAUGAUUUGUCUGGUUAAUUCCGAUAACGAACGUGACUCAAUCAAAUUAAAUAGAACGCUAUCAGCAGUCAGAUGUUUGAUACCGACGGUUCGGGCAACGGUCGCUCGCGGCUCGCGCUCGGCCGGCGGUGUAGUGUGACCUGAUAAUACGUCAACCCAUCGUGGUUGACUUCUGCUUAAUAGGACAAUUUGUGUUCACCAAAAUGAGAUUGAGCGAUAACAGGUCCGUGAUGCCCUUAGAUGUUCUGG
rnacentral:ncRNA from 2 species